rnacentral:rRNA from 1 species
GAUGAACGCUGGCGGUAUGCUUAACACAUGCAAGUCGAACGGACUCUUCGGAGUUAGUGGCGGACGGGUGAGUAACGCGUGAGAAUCUGGCUUUGGGUUCGGGACAACCACUGGAAACGGUGGCUAAUACCGGAUGUGCCGAGAGGUAAAAGAGAAAUUGCCUGAAGAUGAGCUCGCGUCUGAUUAGCUAGUUGGUGAGGUAAAGGCUCACCAAGGCAGCGAUCAGUAGCUGGUCUGAGAGGAUGACCAGCCACACUGGGACUGAGACACGGCCCAGACUCCUACGGGAGGCAGCAGUGGGGAAUUUUCCGCAAUGGGCGAAAGCCUGACGGAGCAAUACCGCGUGAGGGAAGAAGGCUCUUGGGUUGUAAACCUCUUUUCUUAGGGAAGAACAAAAUGACGGUACCCAAGGAAUCAGCAUCGGCUAACUCCGUG